UGGUGUCAUAGCCCAGCCACUUGUUAAAAUGCAAAUCAACGGUGACCCUGUUAAUGUGUCUGUCAAUUUGUGCUCCACAUCAUCAGUGCUCUACAAUCAGAGCCUUGUUCACACAACAAAACCCAGUCGGGCCCAGAGUUCAGCAGCAGCGACAACUACUGGCUCAUUUUGGCACAGCGCACGAAGCACCGCGUGGACGUUGACACGGCGGACGGAGAGUUUUUGUUUUAUAUAAGAGUUGUUGUUAAAGAUGACGUGAUGUGUGUGUGUUUUGGAGAACAGAGUAAUGAGUCCAAGAGUCUGGACCCGAUGAGGCAGAACCUCAGUGGUCAGGUCACAGGGAAAGAAAUAACGUUUCCUCGACACACAUUGUCCAGGGUGUAACCCCCCCACCCCACCCUUAUCCCCUGGAUGACAACUGCUGCACCCUGAGGAAGGGGAUGACUGACUGAUGGAUCUGAACCCACAACCUUCUGACGUGAGUUUGUCCUUUUUUGUAAAUGAUGAGCUUUAAUUUAUUAUUAGUUUACUUACGUUUGAACUGAAAUGAAACGCUGAAAUAUUAUUUGUAGUAGAACUAGUUUUAGUCAACUUAUUAUUAGUUACAUUAUUUUAAUUAACUAACUUGGUUCUUUUGUUUUUUUACACCUCUGUUACGUCACCACAGUCUCCAGUAUCACAGUCUGUAUUUUUUUGCCUCCACUGGUGCAAAUGAAGUUCAGCGUUCAACUGAUUUUCUACUUUACACCUCUGGAGGUCGCUGUAGAUCCCAGUUUUUUUUUAUCCCCGGUUUAAUUGAACAGUGUUAGAUUCACAGGGUGAAAUUUCGAUCAAUACUAAAUUUCCAUGAGAUUUAAAAAUAAAAAUAUAAUAAAAAAAACAAACGGACAGAGGGCCACAUUAAAUUUGAGAUGAAAAUUUAUUUAUUUAUAUGUAUUUGAUUUUAAAAAAUGAUCUUCCUCCCAUAAUUAACUUAUAUUCUGCCCUUCUUUUCUGUAAUUGCUUUUCUGUUUUGUGUGUAAUAUUAUUAUAUAAGAUUUUAAUCAGUGGAAAAUGAAUAUCUGUGAGUCUGGCAGAAGAAACCAGUGUGAGAAAAAAAAAAAAAACAGAAACAAAACCCGGGGCUACUGCAGAGACAUUUCAACGGUAUAUGCUUCACAGGUUCUGCCUUUUCUUUGCCAGCAUUAAUUACAUUUUAUAUUCAAAGGUGUUUAACGAGACAGCUGUGAAAAAUCAACCCUGCAGCCCCCAGACUUCUGACCACCGUGCUAAUUUUACACUAAAUUGAAUCUGAAUCAAAUGAUAGACGGCUAUAUUUGUUCAUUUUACUUAGAUUUACAAAUUGAAUUCUUCAAAUGUCCAUUGUUUCUAAUUGACUUUGUUAUGUCUAAAUUCUCCCGUCAGCUGUUUUUAUUUUGCGUCCUUUGUUGUUGCAGCGUGCUCAGAAAUAUCUUUCCAUCUGUCGUCGUCGUCGGAGCGAAUCUGUCUGUUUAGCUACCGAUUCAUUUGGGGAUCAAGAUGUUUGGACUCACUUUCACUCAAUUUGAGUCGUUCCCUUUUAGUCGUCUACACGACAAUGUUAAUUUACAUCAUUGUCCCGUUGAUGAAGCUUCAGCUCAGGUUUGAAGCAGCAGGGAGUUGAAAUAAUGGAAUGAAAAAAAAAAGGACAGAAGGAAAAUCAGCGUCAAGAUUCGUUGGACAAGUUUGUCUGAGUCCAGCACAGAGUGAGAGUUGAAUUAAAUGAAUGGAAGUAUGAUGAAAUAUAUAUAAAACAUAUAUAAAA